GAUGAAGAACGUAGCGAAAUGCGAUAAGUAAUGUGAAUUGCAGAAUUCAGUGAAUCAUCGAAUCUUUGAACGCACAUUGCGCCCGCCAGUAUUCUGGCGGGCAUGCCUGUUCGAGCGUCAUUUCAACCCUCAAGCCCCCCCGGGGGCAUGGUGUUGGGGGACGGCCCCGCCCCGCGCGGUCUGGCCGCCCCCGAAAUGCAGUGGCGACCCCGCCGCAGCCUCCCCUGCGUAGUAGCUAUACAACUGGAAACCUCGCACCGGAGAGCGGCGCUGCUCAGCCGUGAAACCCCAACUUCUGAAAGGUUGACCUCGGAUCAGGUAGGAAUACCCGCUGAACUUAAGCAUAUCAAUAAGCGGAGGA
rnacentral:misc_RNA from 1 species